ACACAAGAAACCAGGUAGACGUGCGGACUUCUGCCCUGAGAGCCCUUCAUGGUGUACUGAGAGGAAGAAACUAAAAUAAAUCCUUCCUUGCUCACAUUGCUUCUGGCCAUGGUGUUGAGCAAAGCAGUAACAAGGAAAGAGAACACUUAGGAAGCAGCUCUGCUGUCAGGGCAACAGAUGGGUGAACACACAGGGGCUGAAGAACACAGCGCGAACUGGGCUGGAGCCCCGACUGCAUGUGAUCAUCUCCACAGCCCACAGGAGGAAAUGGAGGACCCCUAUGCCCUGCCUUUUCAUCUGGUCAUACUUCAGGAGGAAUUUCCACACAAGGGGCAAUGAGACCUUAUUCCUGACCACUUCUUUACCAGUGAAGACAGCCAUUUGGAUUAUGUAGAGCUGGAAUGAGAACGGCCCUCAUAGGGAAUUUACAAACUUCUCAAAACACAAAGAAUAGUUUUCCAUGUGUGCAAUAGAAGAUCUACAGAGAAACUGUCCAUGACCUCAGACUUUCUCCCACAUUAAGGCAGAAACGCUUACAUGUUUCUAGGCAAUGCAGCAGGUGCCUGUUGGACAUCCAGCAUUUCAGGUCAUUGCAGAACCUGUAUCCACUACAGUAGGCAUGCGUACCUGUUCUUCCUCUCCCUAGUUCAGUGGCUCUCAACCUUCCCAAUGCUGUGACCCUUCAAUACAGUUUCUCGUGUUGUGGUGACUCCAACCAUAAAAUUAUUUCAUUGCUACUUCAUAACUGUAAUUUUGCUGUUUUGAAUUGUGAUGUAAAUAUCUGAUAUGCGACCUCUGUGAAAGGGUCAUUCAAUUCCCAAAGGGGUUGCAACCCACAGGUUGAAAAGCACUGCCCUAGUGACUGGUCAAGUUCAGCAAUACUCCAGACCCUGUGUCCUGAGGGGUUCUUUUGUUAUUGCAGUUGUUGUGAGCUUCUUUUUCCUCUUCCUCCUCCCUCUUCUCCUUCUCCUCCUCCUUCUUCUUCUUCCUCCUCCUUCCUUCUUUUACUCCUCUUUCACCUCUUCUUCUUCUUCCAAGUUAACACAAGUUACAAUCAUAUGAGAGAGGGGCCCUCAACUGAGAAUAUGCUCCCAGUAGAUUGCUUGUAAGGCAAAUCUGUAGGGCAUUUCCUUGGUUGAUAAUUGAUGUGGAAGGGCCCCACCCACUGCGGGUGGGGCCAUACUUGGACAGACAGUCCUGGGUUCAAUAAGAUAGUAGUCAGAAUAAGCUAUGAAGAACAAGCCAGUAAGCAGGCAGUAUCCUCCAUGGCUCUGCAUCAGUUCUUGCUUCUAGGUUUCCCACUUUCUGUUCCCACCACCAUCUCCCUCAGUUGCUGGGGUAUGGAAGUGGAAAAUUGAGUUUUCUUUGGAAAGUCAGUUGUAUUGAAUGGUAUUUUGCUGGGGCAAACACCUGGUGUGCCACAGCUUCUUGCCGUUUUCAAGGACGUAGACUGAUUGGCAGAGUGAUGUCAGCUGAGACAGAUGCAAGUGCUGAGGGAAGCCCAUGAUGUUUGGAGGGAAUGUAAAAAGGACUCAAUGAACAGUGAUGGAGGCUGACCUUGGCUUGCUUAUUGAGCUAGCUGUGCAAUGCUUGUGGGUCUUGCAUCUUUGCUGAUCUUCACUUUGCUGAGAGAGGCACAGCCAAGAACUUUUCCUGGUGUUCCUGUUGGCCCUGGUCCCUCCUGCUGACUCCUGCCAAGGCUGAGGCUUAGCUGUCGUUGCUAGGCAGUACCACAAUCACUGCUGAUUUGUGUUCGCUAUCCCGACUCUACCUAACUGGACUGCUGGUGUAUCUGUGAAGCGUUUGCGAUCCGAUCAAGCUGCUGCUGCUGACCUGUGAACUGAACUGCCAAUUUCCAGACGACGCAGACGGGAGCUGCUCCAACGAACCUUUCUAAACAGGUCCACUUCCCCCGCACCCUUUCUUUCCCAUGACCUCUGGUGGGUGGUGGGCUACAAGGGAGGUUAAAGCAUUUAAGGACCAUCAUUAAAAAUAGGAUUUGAAAAAAUUAAAUUUAGUCAUGGUGUUCAUUGCAGCAACAGAAUCCCUAACUAUGACACCCUGAAUUGGAAACCAUGUGUUGCCACUUGAGGAAGAACUUACUGUGGAGAGAUGCGAUGGAUGCCAACUCCAGAGACUUAA